CUGCCUUCCCACAUCCAACCGCUUCCCCAUCCCUUCUCACGGAGUCUGGUUCGGGUGAAAUUACUUUUAUUGAUGCACUAACUCCCUCUCUGGAUAUGUAGAACAAGGAGGACCUUACACUUAACAAUAGAGCCAAUGAUGGUUCUACCAGUCUCCCCAAAGCCUCAAGUUUAAAAGCCAUAUGAACUGGCUGAUAGUGGAAAAUGAAAGCCAUGAGGAAGAAACUGAGGACAGGAGGGGCCAAACAAGUUACAGUUUCAUCCCUCCAGAGGGCCAACAGAGUAUUUUGCACGAAGUUGAAG